rnacentral:lncRNA from 1 species
GGUCGCUUCUCGCAGGCGGCGCGCUUGCUGGGUCACAGUGAGGCGGCUCCGCGCAGGCGCAGCCGGGCGGGCGAGGAGCGGGGAAGCUGACUCAGGGCUGCGGCCGGGGUCCUGCGGGGUAGGAGCGCGAGGCCGGCCUGAGGGAGGAGGCCUAGCGACCCAUCCGGCGCCUCCCGCCCCGGGCACCCGCCCGCGGCCGCGCAUCCUGCGGGCCCCAGGAGGCCUCCAUCUCAAAACAACGUGUUUUUAGAGAACUCAAGGGCUGUGAAAAGAGCAGGACCUCACCAGCUGCACGGCGGUGGUGACUGGCUCCAUCUUGCUGUCCCUCCCAAUCACACAACAUCUCCCCUUGAAGGCUCUGCCCAGGCCCGGACUCCCACCUUUCAAGAUGUCUGGAUCAGUGCAGGACCUCCUCCUUGGCCACAUCGCUCUCCUUGGACUGGCUGGAGUGCAAUGACUCGGUCUCGGCUCAUUGCAACCUCCGCCUUGCAGGUUCAAGUGAUUCUCCCACCUCAGCCUCCCAAGUAGGAUUACAGUGUUGACUCACCUGUGGAGUGGUCUGAGCCUGAAUGCCCGGGGCUGUGGCCACCGAGUGAACGGGCUGUGCUAAGGGGAAUUGCCACCUUGGGAAACCUGUGUAGUUGCGGCUUUUCUGAUUAAGUAUCAAUAAAAGUCUGACCUUGUGAAAAAAGCAAACGUGAGUGGCCCUGCUUAUGUUUCACCUUGCGUUGCUCAGUGAUAGUUCUGCAAAGUCGCAGGAAACCUGGAAUCAUCUAAUUAUCGUGAGUGUUGGUUCCUUAUUUAAUAAUGUCUAGUUGAUUCAUUAACAUGGAAUUCAUGGCCAGUACCUCUGUCACUCAUGCCUGACUGAAGUUGAUCAGCACGUCUUUUUCUCCCUUAGGCACAUGACAGCCUUCUUGCAAUCAAGAAACUACGUGUGGCCAGGAUCUCAUCCACUAUCACAGUUUCAGCUUUCCCCAAACUGGAAUGUGUCUUUGCAGACGCCCAUCCUUAUUAAAGGGCAAAGACUUCUCAUACACCUAGGAUGGAUCUUAUAUUCUUGGCGGGACUGCAGAGAAGGUGCCGUGUCCUGAGUCCUCAUGUCAGGGCACAGGCUUCCAGCCAGUUCUACCUGGGUUAUGUUUAUCUCAAUUCCCUGGUGGUAUUGGUGUCUGCUGGGUUUUGCCAGAAUGAAGACACCGUGUUUUCAUUUGUCAGUUGAUUCGUAUUUUCCAGGAAGACAUUCUGAGAUUACAGCAUUGUCUUAGUCAAGGUGCUGCAGAAGGACAGAACUAAUAGGAUAUAUGUACAUAUGAAAGAAAGUUUAUGAAGAACUGGCUCACACCAUCACAAGGCAAAGUCCCAUGACAGGCCAUCUGCAAGCUGAGGAGCGAGGAAGCCAGCAGUGGCUCAGCCGGAGUCCAACAGCCUCAAACGGAAUCCAACAGUUCAGGCUUCAGUCUGUGGCCAAAUGCCCAGAGACCCCGGAAAGCUACUGGUGUUAGUCCCAGAGCCGGAAGGCCAAAGAACCUGGAGUGUGAUGUCCAAGGGCAGGAGGAAUGGACAGAAGCAUCCAGCAUGGGGUAAAGACGAAAGCCAGAAGACUCAGCAAGCUAGCUUACCUACUUUCUUCUGCCUGCCUUGUUCUAGCCGCGCUGGCAGCCGGUUGGAGGGUGCCCACCCCCACUGAGGGUGGAUCUUCCUCUCCUAGUCCACUGACUCAAAUUUCAGUCUCUCUGGGAGCACCAUCACACCAGAAACAAUACCAGCCAUCUAGCCACCCUUCAGUUCACCAUCACAACCAUUGUCUUAUUCAUGAAACUUCUGCAGACCCACCUUAACCUCCAUCGGUGACUUCUACCUGAAGCCCUCUGAUUGUUGCCCAGUGGUGCUUUUUAAAAUAAUUUCCAUAGUUUCUUCUACACCUUUAGUUGGCAUUCUACUGUAAAGGAGAGAUUUUAUUUUCUUACUCAUUUAUUUGUUAGUUUAUAGUCACCACCAUAUGGAUGCAGAGUUCUGUCUCAUUCACUGGGAAGUAUUCUAUUGCAGUCAUGAUUUAUUUUGAUGUUCACAUCCCAGAGUUGGUGAGUGAGCGCCCCUUCACGCUGGCUCCCGAGUGCUGACGUGUCCCCGUCCUUCUCUGCACUUUUCCUUACCUCCUGGCCUCAGAUAUUCCAGGGUCAUUUGUUCUCUCCCUGCUCCAACCCUGCAGUCAGCCAUCUCCCUAGGGACGUUGGUUCCUUUAUGGAAGGUGGCAUUUAGAAGCCAGGAUUUGGGCUGAGCACUGUGGCUCAUGCUUGUAAUCCCAGCACUUGGGGAGGCCGAAGUGGGCGGAUCGCUGGAGGCCAAGAGUCUGAGACCAGCCUGGCUAACAUGGUGAAACCCUUCCCCGUCUCUACUACAAAUAAAAAAUUAGCUGGGUGUGUUGGCACGUGCCUGUAAUCCCAGUUACUCAGGAGGCUGAAGCACCAGAAUCUCUUGAACCCAGGAGGCCGAGGUUGCAGUGAGCCAAGAUUGCACCACUGCACUACAGCUUGGGUGACAGCGCGAGACACCGUCUCAAAAAGGAUAAUAAUUUAAAAAACAGCAGGAUUUGGGUGAGCAGUGCGCUCAUUGCUUCUGGGCUCUCUCGGUGGACAUAGGCUAGGAAUGUAAGAUGUAUGUGCCUGUGUAUAUACACACGUCUGUAGCUAUGUCUAUGUUGCAUACAUGUGUUUUUCCAAAAACCAAAUCCAUAACCAUGCCUUCAGUUUCAGCCCAACACCUCCGGGCUCUUUCUAGCUUUCUACCUUUCAUGAUUGUGAAUACCUUCUCCAGCAGUGAGAAACCUGGCUCCUUUGUCCUCAGUGGAUUUUCUUAUUUGCUCAAUUUUUUUGUUUUUUGUUUUGUUUUUGUUUUUGAGACAGAGUCUUGUUCUGUCACCCAAGCUGGAGUGCAGUGGCAUAAUCUCGGCUUACCGCAACCUCUGCCUCCUGG